rnacentral:rRNA from 1 species
CUAUGGCCAUACCACCCUGAAUGCUCCUGCUCUCAUCUGAUCUCAGAAGCUAAUUGGGUUCGGACCUGUUUAUAGUACUUGGAUGAAGAUAUUUACCUAAAUCUUCUAACCUAGAUAACAUUUGGUCCCAGAUAGU